CCUUUAGUAGGAUUUCUGUCUAGCUAUGCCUCUGGAUGGGGUCGGAACCGAGCUCUAUUGGUAUGACGUUCCAAUUCUAUCAAAGAUACUUGGUGUAGGCUGCUUUUGCUCAUUCAUAGUUAUCUCCAACUCACUUUCACAUUUGCACUUGCUACACAGAACUACCCCAGCACAAAUGGUUUCCUUUGGCCUUCGAUUUACCUCUUUUGUGACUUUUCUGCCCAUGUUGGGGCUGACUUCUAUUAUCAACUCGAGGUUGGGAAAAAGGGUCUGUCGUUACUGAGGGAGGUUUCUCAGCUAGCUUUAGCCUUUCUUCCAUUAUUCCUUCUUGAAUGACGUCUCUGAAAACAACGCAACUAUUGGUGGAAUGGUUCCAAGAGUUGUGCCAUUUGCAAUAUUGUCUUCCCUUGAGUUCCUCAAGUUUGGGCAACCUGUGAGGUGUUUCUAU
rnacentral:lncRNA from 1 species